rnacentral:rRNA from 1 species
UACGGAGGAUGCGAGCGUUAUCCGGAUUUAUUGGGUUUAAAGGGUGCGCAGGCGGGAGAUUAAGUCGGCGGUGAAAUUUUGCAGCUCAACUGUAAAAGUGCCUUCGAAACUGGUUUCCUUGAGUGUGGAUGAAGUAGGCGGAAUUUGUGGUGUAGCGGUGAAAUGCAUAGAUAUCACGAGGAACUCCGAUUGCGCAGGCAGCUUACUAAACCAUAACUGACGCUCAGGCACGAAGGCGUGGGGAUCAAACAGGAUUAGAUACCCCU